CGCCAUCAGUAGUAUCAGCACACUGACGACAUGGUUCUACAGAAACCAGGAUUAGAUACCCCGUUAUGGUAAGAGAAAAAUAGGCCGUAUUAGUAAGAGUUAUAUUCUUUAAAAUUAAAAAUUUGGCGGUGUUUCAUUUUAAUAGGGGAACUUGUUUUAUAAUUCGAUAAACCACGUUUUAUUCUUCUUAGUUUAAAAUUUUGUAUACCGUCAUUACAGGUAAUUUUUAGAAAAUUAAAUACUAAAAUUUAAUUACAUUAAAAGAAAUUAGAUCAAGGUGCAGAAUAUAAUUAAGAAAAAAUGAGUUACAAUAAGAUUAUAGUUUAUUAUGGAUAGUUUUUGAAACGAAAACUUGAAGGAGGACUUGUUUGUAAUUAUUAAAUAAAAAUAAAUAAUGAAAAAGAUUCUGAAACAUGUACAUAUCGCCCGUCGCUAGACCAAGUCUCUGCUACCGUAGCUGAUACUACUGAGCGGGCUGG
rnacentral:rRNA from 1 species